AACGAACGCUGGCGGCAGGCCUAACACAUGCAAGUCGAGCGCCCCGCAAGGGGAGCGGCGGACGGGUGAGUAACGCGUGGGAACGUACCCUUUGCUACGGAAUAGCCUCGGGAAACUGGGAGUAAUACCGUAUGUGCCCUUCGGGGGAAAGAUUUAUCGGCAAAGGAUCGGCCCGCGUUGGAUUAGGUAGUUGGUGGGGUAAUGGCCUACCAAGCCGACGAUCCAUAGCUGGUUUGAGAGGAUGAUCAGCCACACUGGGACUGAGACACGGCCCAGACUCCUACGGGAGGCAGCAGUGGGGAAUCUUAGACAAUGGGCGCAAGCCUGAUCUAGCCAUGCCGCGUGAGCGAUGAAGGCCUUAGGGUUNUAAAGCUCUUUCAGUGGGGAAGAUAAUGACGGUACCAGCAGAAGAAGCCCCGGCUAACUCCGUG
rnacentral:rRNA from 1 species